UGGAUCCAGACUUUGAUUAUGGCUCAGGAUGAACGCUAGCUACAGGCUUAACACAUGCAAGUCGAGGGGCAGCAUAUCGGUAGCUUGCUACUGGUGAUGGCGACCGGCGCACGGGUGAGUAACGCGUAUCCAACCUUCCCAUGACUGGGGAAUAACCUUGCGAAAGUAAGACUAAUACCCCAUGGUUUCCGAGGCGGACAUCCAAUUUGGAAUAAAGAUUCAUCGGUCAUGGAUGGGGAUGCGUCUGAUUAGCUUGUUGGCGGGGUAACGGCCCACCAAGGCGACGAUCAGUAGGGGUUCUGAGAGGAAGGUCCCCCACAUUGGAACUGAGACACGGUCCAAACUCCUACGGGAGGCAGCAGUGAGGAAUAUUGGUCAAUGGACGAGAGUCUGAACCAGCCAAGUAGCGUGCAGGAUGACGGCCCUAUGGGUUGUAAACUGCUUUUAUACGGGAAUAAAGUCAAUCACGUGUGAUUGUUUGUAUGUACCGUAUGGAUAAGGACCGGCUAAUUCCGUGCCAGCAGCCGCGGUAAUACGGAAGGUCCGGGCGUUAUCCGGAUUUAUUGGGUUUAAAGGGAGCGUAGGCCGCCGAUUAAGCGUGUUGUGAAAUGCCGCAGCUCAACUGUGGCACUGCAGCGCGAACUGGUUGGCUUGAGUGCGCGGAAGGCAGGCGGAAUUUGUGGUGUAGCGGUGAAAUGCUUAGAUAUCACGAAGAACCCCGAUUGCGAAGGCAGCUUGCCGCAGCGUAACUGACGCUGAAGCUCGAAAGUGCGGGUAUCGAACAGGAUUAGAUACCCUGGUAGUCCGCACGGUAAACGAUGGAUGCCCGCUGUUCCGGCUAUAUGUUGGAGUGGCCAAGCGAAAGCGUUAAGCAUCCCACCUGGGGAGUACGCCGGCAACGGUGCAACUCAAAUGAAUUGACGGA
rnacentral:rRNA from 1 species